CCAUCCUGAUGUGUGUGGUUGACUCCGUUUCUCACCAUGUCUUCUCCCAAGACUUUCAGAAUCAAGUGAUUUCUGGCUAAGAAACAAAAGCAAAAUCGUCCCAUUCCCCAGUGGAUUUGGAUGAAAACUGGUAAUAAAAUCAGAUACAACUCCGAGAGGAGACUUUGGAGAAGAACCAAGCUGGGUCUAUAAGGACUUGCACACGAGAUGAUGGCACACAUAUUUCCGCUGUAUCAAGGUCACUAUCAUCUUACCAUAUCAAGCUGAAAACGUCACUACU